rnacentral:tRNA from 1 species
AAGGCUUUAGCUUAAUUAAAGUGUCUGUUUUGCAUACAGUAGAUGUGGGUUAAUGUCCUGCAGGUCUUA